ACCAUAAAUAGUGCUUCACACAGC
rnacentral:siRNA from 1 species